AAACUACUAUAUUAAAACGCAGCGUUUCAAUUGGGGUCUACAUUUGCGACGGAUAUAGAAAUCCGUCGCAAAUGUUGAUCCCAAUUGAAACGCUGCGUUUCAUUUAGGACUACAUUUGCGACGGAUUUCUAUAGUCCGUCGCAAAUGUAGACCUAAAUUAAAACGCAGCUCGCCUUCCCCUUCCCAUUUCUUUCAGAAAAUUAAAACAGAAUUUGAAACCGCUGCCGCCGUUGAACUCUUCCUCCUCCACGCCGCCGUUCAACUCCUUCUCCUCCACGCCGCCGGUCGUUUCCCUCCUCCUCCACGCUGCUCCUUUCUUCUUCUUCACCGUCCGCAGCCGCCAUCAGUGCCUCCUCCUCCACCGACCGCUGCCGCCGUCAGCUCCUCCUCCUCCACCGAGCGCCGCCAUCUGUUCCGCCUCCUUCCCUUCCUCCGGCGACGUCACCUCCGUCCUGCUGCCACCGCCUCCGUCCUGCUGCCACCGCCUCCGUCCCGCUGCCAUAUCGCUGAUAGCCCUUGAUAGCCGCGCACCGUUGUUCCGAGUGAUCCGAGCGUUUCACCUUUUAUUUGCGGUUCUGCCCU